rnacentral:rRNA from 1 species
GAUAUUUCACAAUGGGGGAAACCCUGAUGCAGCGACGCCGCGUGAGCGAAGAAGGCCUUCGGGUCGUAAAGCUCCGUCCUAAGGGAAGAAACGGACGGUACCUUAUGAGGAAGCCCCGGCUAACAACUUCACAGCAGCCGCGGUAAUACGUAGGGGGCGAGCGUUAUCCGGAAUUACUGGGGGUAAAGGGUGCGUAGGCGGCCUUUUAAGCCAGAUGUGAAAGGCUACGGCUUAACCGUAGUUAGCAUUUGAAACUAAAAGGCUUGAGUGCAGGAGAGGAGAGUGGAAUUCCUAGUGUAGCGGUGAAAUGCGUAGAUAUUAGGAGGAACACCAGUGGCGAAGGCGACUCUCUGGACUGCAACUGACGCUGAGGCACGAAAGCGUGGGGGGCGAAC